rnacentral:rRNA from 1 species
UCGAGUGCAUGAAGCUGGAAUCGCUAGUAAUCGCGGAUCAGAAUGCCGCGGUGAAUACGUUCCCGGGUCUUGUACACACCGCCCGUCACACCAUGGGAGUCGAUAACGCCCGAAGUCAGUGACCCAACCUUAUAGGAGGGAGCUGCCGAAGGCGGGAUUGAUAACUGGGGUGAAGUCGUAACAAGGUACC